rnacentral:rRNA from 1 species
GAUGAACGCUGGCGGCGUGCUUAACACAUGCAAGUCGAGCGAUGAAGUUUCCUUCGGGAAACGGAUUAGCGGCGGACGGGUGAGUAACACGUGGGUAACCUGCCUCAUAGAGUGGAAUAGCCUUCCGAAAGGAAGAUUAAUACCGCAUAACGUUGAAAGAUGGCAUCAUCAUUCAACCAAAGGAGCAAUCCGCUAUGAGAUGGACCCGCGGCGCAUUAGCUAGUUGGUGGGGUAACGGCCUACCAAGGCGACGAUGCGUAGCCGACCUGAGAGGGUGAUCGGCCACAUUGGGACUGAGACACGGCCCAGACUCCUACGGGAGGCAGCAGUGGGGAAUAUUGCACAAUGGGGGAAACCCUGAUGCAGCAACGCCGCGUGAGUGAUGAAGGUUUUCGGAUCGUAAAGCUCUGUCUUUGGGGAAGAUAAUGACGGUACUCAAGGAGGAAGCCACGGCUAACUACGUGCCAGCAGCCGCGGUAA